UAUAGAGAGAGAGAAUUACUCUCAAAGAGAGAAAGAACUUUGGCACUAUUUUUCGGUCUCACUCGGCUUUAAUUUUUUCCUAUAAUAUUGUUAAUAAAGUUCACUGAGUAGAACAUAACCUGACUACAAGAGACUAGGAAGAAGGAAACAAGAGAAGUCAUUAUCAGUGGUAGUGGAAACAGUAUUUCUUCCCAUUCUAUCCAAACAGUUAUUAAAAUCUGGCUACAGCAUGCUGGAGAUCGGAUCAAUCAAAAUACCAAACGACAUGAAUUGAAGAACUGAAAUGUUUAGAAAAAUAGUGGAGAAAAAGUAGCGAAUCUAUUUACAAGGAAGGUUAGCCAACCCGGAAAUUCAGAAAAUUCUGAAACUUUGUGUGCAUAUAGAGUAGUUUUCCGUAACAUAAAACUAUUUUUUUCAUGCUGAAUUACAAUUCAAGGGGGUGAAAUCACCCCUUGAAGAAAAAUAUAGGUAUUUCUAUUUUGCGAAAUAACUGCCAAACGGUGAGAGAUAUAAAAAAAAGUUUAUACAAAAGUUGCAUCUAUUUUUUAUGUCUACAAAGCUGUGUGCACUUUGACAUUAAAUGACGCAGAUUCAUUUUGAUGCACCGAUAACCUUGUCGAACUAUCCGAUUUACGUAAUACGGAUGUGUCUAUCUGUUUUGCAAACCACACGAAAAAUUAGAUAAGUUGGUGCAUAGAUUGGACUACUGUCGCAAAUGAGGAAAAUGGUGCAACUUAUAAUCUUUUUUCCAACAUUUUUUCGGUGAAUAAGUUUAUGUAAUCGCGGUUUUCGAUUCAUAUAAAUAUGCCCGAGGAAGUAUUACUUUCCAGUCUCAUUUACGACAGGAAUCAGCAUUCUGUUGAAAAGUUUGCCUGAUAGAAAAUGACGCCGGUUAAUGUUGCGAACAUAAUAAACAUGUUAGCGACUACGUUUCAAAUUGCGAGUAUAACACAGACACCUAUAACGCCUUUUGCAAUUGAAGUGCAUAAUGAAAUUCGUGAUAUUCUACAAAAUUUGCAAGACGUACGUUCAUCAUUUGAACAUGAUUACGUGCUUGAUUUUGCUGAUCCAUCAGAACCCCAUGGAGCACAAGUUGUAGAAUACAUUACGCCUGCAGAAAAA